AGAUUUCCGGGGCCAUUAGGCACCUCUGUCUGGGGAUUUGUCCGCACAUCCGUGGCUCUGGAACCCGGAAGUAAUAUCACAGGGAACAUGGAAUAUACCUGUUUUUGAAAGAUUGACCAAAGAGGCCCCAUGAUCCACUACUCUAUACCGCCCAGUCCUGGGAUGAUAGGGAAACACUUGGACAGUCCUCCUUAGGCUUUAGUAAUCCACUCAAGUCGCUGUUCUGAAACCACAACCAUGAAGGCAUGAAGGAGAAGAAAUGUACCUGCAAG